AGGUGAUGCGAUGGUGGUUCUUGGUUGUUGAUGGUGGUUCUUGGCUGUAGGUGGUGUUGAUGGUGGUUCUUGGUUGUAGGUGGUGUUGAUGGUGCUUCUUGGUUGUAGGUGCUGUUGAUGGUGGUUCUUGGUUGUAGAUGAUUGUGGUUCUUGGUAGUAGGUGAUGGUGGUUCUUGGUUGUAGGUGAUUCUGAUGGUGGUUCUUGGUUGUAGGUGAUGGUGGUUCUUGGUUGUAGGUGAUGGUGGUUCUUGGUUGUAGGUGUUGAUGAUGGUGGUUCUUGGUUGUAGGUGUUGUUGAUGGUGGCUUUUGGUUGUAGGUGAUGGUGUUUCUUGGUUAUUGGUGAUGUUGGUUCUUGGUUGUAGGUGGUGUUGAUGUUGGUUCUUGGUUGUAGGUGUUGUUGAUGGUGGUUCUUGGUUGUAGGUGAUGGUGGUUCUUGGUUGUAGGUGGUGUUGAUGGUGGUUCUUGGUUGUAGGUGGUGGUGGUUCUUGGUUACAGGUGAUGGUGGUUCUUGGUUGUAGGUGGUGUUGAUGUUGGUUCUUGGUUGUAGGUGGUGUUGGUGGUUCUUGGUUGUAGGUGAUUCUGAUGGUGGUUCUUGGUUGUAGGUGAUGGUGGUUCUUGGUUGUAGGUGUUGUUGAUGGUGGUUCUUGGUUGGAGGUGUUGUUGAUGGUGGUUCUUGAUUGGAGGUGUUGAUGGUGGUUCUUGGUUGUAGGUGAUGGUGGUUCUUGGUUGGAGGUGUUGUUGAUGGUGGUUCUUGGUUGUAGGUGGUGUUGAUGGUGGUUCUUGGUUGUAGGUGAUGGUGUUUCUUGGUUAUAGGUGAUGGUGGUUCUUGGAUGUAGGUGGUGUUGAUGGUGGUUCUUGGUUACAGGUGAUUGUGGUUCUUGGUUGUAGCUGGUGUUGAUGGUGGUUCUUGGUUGUAGGUGGUGUUGAUGGUGGUUCUUGGUUGUAGGUGGUGUUGAUGUUGGCUCUUGGUUGUAGGUGGUGUUGAUGUUGGUUCUUGGUUGUAGGUGGUGUUGAUGGUGGUUCUUGGUUGUAGGUGAUUGUGAUGGUGGUUCUUGGUUGUAGGUGAUGGUGGUUCUUGGUUGUAGGUGAUGGUGUUUCUUGGUUAUAGGUGAUGGUGGUUCUUGGUUGUAGGUGGUGUUGAUGGUGGUUCUUGGUUACAGGUGAUGGUGGUUGUAGGUGGUGUUGAUGUUGGUUCUUGGUUGUAGGUGGUGUUGAUGGUGGUUCUUGGUUGUAGGUGAUUCUGAUGGUGGUUCUUGGUUGUAGGUGCCCGCGUCUGUUGUGCUGCUGUUUGACCUGCAGACGGCCCCUGCGGUGCUCCAGCGCCUUCUGGCCUUCGCAGGGAACCUGAAGGCGUGGACGCCGUCCUCCCCAGUGGCGGCCGAGCUGCGCAGCCGGCAGGACUGCCUGUACCGGGUGCUGCUGGACCCGUCCUCCACGCUGCACAGCAGGCUGGUCCAACUGCUCUCCCACCCCGACCAGGAUGUCCGCGCACAUGUGGCUCAUGUGCUCCUGUGAGGCCCGGUGUGAAGACUCGCUGGUGACAGUCUGCCUCAAGGGGACCAACACCGCCAUCUGAAGGCCAGGGGCCACCGUGGAACCCCUUUUGGCUUUAGUCCUGGUGUGGCUGUAACUCGUCUCCAUCCGACACAGAAGUUGGCAGAACCACGGAAAACGGGGCGGCCAUUUUGAAGAACUCAUCCAUUUAAAAGUUCCCUGUUCUGCUCAUGUUGAGAACCGGUGAAAGAGACCUCUUGAUCUGCACACAUCAAGUCCUCUUUUCUAAGUGCUUCCUGUCUGCAACAUGUUGUUAAACAGCAGGUUUCUUUUUUAUUAUUUAAUGAGAAUAUCCAAAGCCACUGCCAAAUCGGUGACUCCGAUUGUUGUCUGGAGUUCUCCCAAAACAUGAAUAAUGUGAGCGGUAAAGCCGAGGUCCUGCUGCAACACCUGCUACAGCUGUUGGAAUACAAUGACUUUGGCUAUCUAUAAUAUUAAAAGAAAAAACAAAGCCCAUUUCUAAUGAAUUAGUGUAUUGGCUAAAUAACAACCAGAGAGACAGAGCCCGACAAAGGGCCAGGGAGCUAAACUGAUCCGUCUAUUAUUUACUAACAUAUGGCCUUGAUAUUACUGAAAGUUACGUCUUGGGUAUUUACCAAAAUGGAUGCAGCUUGGGUCUGCAAUUGUCUAAUGUAAUGUAAUCAUUUAUUACUGCUAUAAUAAGCCUUUCAACCUUGUUUUUACAAACAAGUUAUAGAUUCGUCGUAGGGUUUACCAGACGCACUGAGAAAUAUGUGUAAUUCUAUAAGAGCCCAGUAUGUACUGUAUAUGUACAGUAUGUAUGUAUGUGGCUAAAGCUAUCAACCAGUGAGCUAUUUAGUGUGACACUUUUUAUGAUGGCCAACUCUUAACAGAAAUGCCUGUUUUGUCUGCUUGAAUGUCUCAAUACAUUACUGAUGUAAAAUGUUUGGAGUUUGACCCGAAUUAUAAUCAGUCUUCAUUUGACGUGCAUUAACUGACGAUUUAUGGGACAUUUAAACAAGACGACACAAUUCAAGGAGAAUUAAUGAUGUGGAACCUAGCGGUGAGUUUACAGAUUGAAACCAAUUAAAC
ensembl:lncRNA